CGCUGUGCAGGUUCCGUUACAGACGUUGACUUAACGCUCUGGCGUCAAACGAAUACAACUGCGCUGGAAUGCACUGGAAAGGGUUAGUCAAAGCUAGACAAAUAAGGCUACAUGUCAACUUCUACUUUGCUGUGCGCCCAGAUUGCGGCUCCUUAUUUCACUGUUUGGGUUUUCAGUGCAGAGAUCUUAUAGCUGGAUAAUGGUUCUCACAAGUCAGUUUUCAACCAGUUUGUGAAAAUCCUUUAUGAUAUCCUUAUCACUGAUGGAGGCUGACCUUAAAUAUGUCGGCUUUGCUGGCAGCGCAGAGCACUUGUGCAGUAUCUAGAAAAGCCAAAUUUAUAACUUAUCAGUCUAAACAAUGAGCCUUCGGCGAAGGGAGGAUUUGGAUGUGACCGAUGGUUUUACCUUCCGACUUACGGAUCUAUCAUCUAUGUACAUAUGUAGUUCGGAUGUCGAGGGACUGGAAGGAAUCCAGUUGCGGAUUAUGAACAUUCUUGUUACCAUCGAAAGUUUGACGUAAAGUGACGACGCGUUCACGCUCCAAUAAAGACCCAGGAAAAUUACGUUUUGACUGUAAGGUUGUUAUUGAAAACAAGAAUCGAUCGGAAAAUGUUUUGGAAACUGUUUGAAUUCUCAGAUGGUUCUGGUUUUUCAGUUUCCUCCAUUCAUUCAUCGAUUUCGGUUUAAA